UACGUAGGGGCCUAGCGUUGUCCGGAUUUAUUGGGCGUAAAGAGCUCGUAGGCGGUUCGGCAAGUCGGAUGUGAAAUCUCCACGCUUAACGUGGAGGGGCCAUUCGAAACUGCCGUGACUCGAGUCCGGUAGGGGAGUGUGGAAUUCCCGGUGUAGCGGUGAAAUGCGCAGAUAUUAGGAAGAACACCAGUGGCGAAGGCGGCUCACUGGCCCGGUACUGACGCUGAGGCGCGAAAGCGUGGGGAGCAAACAGG
rnacentral:rRNA from 1 species